AGGAGUGAGAGCAUGGAUGCGCUGAGGUUCAAGAACAUAUUCCAGAACUGCCUUACCACGUGUUGGUGAAAGAUGUUCAAACAAGAAGGGGAAGUGGCUACUGCUUGUUCACAUGCUAUCUGAACAACAAAGAUAGUGAAUACAGCAUCUCCUGGCCCUCUGGAUCAUGAAGGGAAAACUGCCUACGACUGACACCAUCUUGCAGACGAUAGUCUGUGUACAGCAGAGAACUGCAAAGCCACCUGCAGCCCACUGGGUGGAUUGCCAUGUGUCUCUGGAGAGCAGAGGCCCAAACCAGAGAUCCACAGAGCCUGCACAUGGAUGCUUGUAUCUGGAAGCAAAUCUGCAUCUCCAACCAGCCUCCCUGGACUUUCAAAGACCCAAAAGCACCAAGACAUAGAUAAACCUAUACUCUCAUGGAUCCUUGAUGAUCGUGGACACAAACUGAAAUUCCUUUCUGUGACUUACCUAAUCCUUGCAUAGUUCUUUUUCUGCAUUUCUUCUGAUGUGAGGCAGGUGGUCUAGCUUUGGGGCAGAGAGAGGAAAGGAGGAGAAGGGAAGGAGAGGACGUGGAGGACAAGGGUAGAGGGAGGAGGGAUAGAAAAAACAGGGGAAGGAUAAGGGAGUGAAAAGGAGAAGUAGCAUUACAAGA